UAUAUUUCUUAGAAAUAGCAUUGUAUAUAAUAGCAAUGAGUUCUUAUCAUAGAAAUAUAAAAAAAACAUAGAGAGCUGAUUAUCUUCAAUAGCAAAAGAAUAUUUUGAGAUCGGUCAGCUGUGGAAGAAAAAAAAGAUUGCGCCCAAAACAAACAAAUCUAUAGUAUUUUUCAUAACAAAUUAACUCUUAAAAUCAAUUAAUAUUGUUAAUUGGGAUUAAUUUGCCACCUCUUUUUAAUUGAAAUGCGUGUUAUAGCACUUAUUAUAUCCAUAAUUUGUAGGGUCAAAAUGCCUAUUUGUGUAGCGUUCAAUUGCACCUUCAGGACAGGAAUUUUUACUCAAUCUUCCAAGACUAAGGAUUAACCUCAUGCAUUGAAUGAGAAUGCCAUCAAUUUUUUCAUUCUCUUGGAACGAUCCGUGCAGCUUAGACUUCAUCAACUCCUCAUGAGCAAUAAAACGUUAAAAGUAGCGUGGAAUCGACUCCAAUCUAAUUAUGUAAUAAGUAUGUAAAUUUAUGUUGUAUAAAUUGGCAAGUAUUUUUCCUUAUAUUUCGUAGAAAAGUAAUCAACAUAAUUCGAAGGAGUAUUUUACUAUAAUAAUUAAGUUAUUAAGUUGAAAUAUAAUUUAGUCUUUCCAAA
rnacentral:lncRNA from 1 species